CAAUAACCUCUGCGAUUAAUUGCCAUAGCCCUUGAAUAUCCAUUGGACACAAUGCGUGGGAAGAUGGGGAUCAGUACCCUGUGGAGAGUGCUCGGUAUGCCCACAGAAGAUUAGAAAUAAUACUUUUAUGGACUCCAGCAAUGCCAAACAAUACAACAUUGUUCAUCAUAUUAACUUUCUUCUCCAAAUGAUUUUCCAGCGUUGCGCUACCCCAUGAUAUGGAUUGGGAUCCGUCAUCAGCAAGACAGUUGGAAUUUAUGCUGUGUCGAUAUAAGAUAUCCAUUUUAUUUUAUUCAGUAGUAACCCUUUAAGAACUAUCUUCAGCAGAAAGGAAGAACAUGGAGUCCCGGAAGUGAUGUUUUGCCCUCCACAAAGCCUCGAUCUUAACAUUAUUGAGUCUGUGUGGGAUUACAUGAAGAGACAGAAGAAGCUGAGUGAGGCUUCAUCCACUAAAGAUCUCUGGUUAUUUCGUCAAGAUGUUUGAAACAACUUUCCUGCCAAAAUCCUUCAAAAGCUGUGUAAAUGUGUUCCUAGAAGAAUUGAUGCUAUGUUGAAGACAAAGGGUAGUGGCACCAAUAUUAAUUUGUUUUACAUUCCUCUUCUGCACAUUUACUUUGCAUUUAGUUCAUUAAUAAUGAUAAACUAUUAACAUUUCUAUUCUUGAAAGCCUUUUCACUCUGUAGCAUUAUUUUUCAACACCUGCCUAAAACUUUUGCACAGUACUGUAUGUCAUUUGAUCAUUAAAAAAAAUCUUCUAUACAUGCAUUCAGUAAUAAAACU